UACGAAGGGGGCUAGCGUUGUUCGGAAUCACUGGGCGUAAAGCGCACGUAGGCGGAUUUUUAAGUCAGGGGUGAAAUCCCGAGGCUCAACCUCGGAACUGCCUUUGAUACUGGAGAUCUUGAGUCCGGAAGAGGUAAGUGGAACUGCGAGUGUAGAGGUGAAAUUCGUAGAUAUUCGCAAGAACACCAGUGGCGAAGGCGGCUUACUGGUCCGGAACUAACGCUGAGGUGCGAAAGCGUGGGGAGCAAACAGG
rnacentral:rRNA from 1 species